ACAACUUUCCCCUUGGCAAGGGUCACUGACCCACCCACACAGGUGAUUCUGUUUUCCAGGUUAGUUUCAGGGUAGGUUUCAGGGUGUGUUGCGCUGCAGUGGCAAUUAAGACAAAUUCGAUCCUAUUUGAGUUCCCCAUCGAGCCAUACAGUCAUGACCCGAUGUUGUAGUG